rnacentral:rRNA from 1 species
GAUGAACGCUGGCGGCGUGCCUAAUACAUGCAAGUCGAGCGAACAGACGAGGAGCUUGCUCCUCUGACGUUAGCGGCGGACGGGUGAGUAACACGUGGAUAACCUACCUAUAAGACUGGGAUAACUUCGGGAAACCGGAGCUAAUACCGGAUAAUAUAUUGAACCGCAUGGUUCAAUAGUGAAAGACGGUUUUGCUGUCACUUAUAGAUGGAUCCGCGCCGCAUUAGCUAGUUGGUAAGGUAACGGCUUACCAAGGCAACGAUGCGUAGCCGACCUGAGAGGGUGAACCGCCACCCUGGAACUGAGACACGGUCCAGACUCCUGAGGGAGGAAACAGUAGGGAAUCUUCCGGAAUGGGGCAAAGCCUGACGGGGCAACGGCGCGUGAGUGAUGAAGGUCUUCGGAUCGUAAAACUCUGUUAUUAGGGAAAAAAAAAUGUGUAAGUAACUAUGCACGUCUUGACGGUACCUAAUCAGAAAGCCACGGCUAACUACGUG